UGCUCAAUUAACAGCUGAAGAAUAAGCAAGAGCAUGUAGACGUUGAUUCUUAUGAUUCCUGUUUGCCGCAUGCAAUCCCUGCAUUGCAAGACCCAUGGCCUGGAAUGCAUAAUUAACCACCAAAAGACGGUGAUCAUCGCUUCUAAAAGUAGGUCAAUAAAUGAAAUAGAAGCGACACACUCUUUUUUGCCGGCUACAUAAACUCGUUUGAAGGUGAUUCAAGACAUCAGUUGUUCAAUUCAUCAAAAUUUGUCAUCGGCACUUUCUUGGCAGUUGCUGCCGCUGCGCCUUCCAGCAACAAGCCGGAAUACAAAGCUCCUAGCUAUACUACCCCAAACUUCCCUGCACCAAAGUACCCUACUACUAGCUAACCUGCACCAGCUUACUCUACUCCCAGCUACAACAAGGAUAACAAAUACGCUGAUAUCACCAUCACCAGCCAAUCUGACGAACGCAUCCUCGAUGGCAGCAGCCAAUGGAGGUCUGGGAAUGGCUGAAAAGAGUGACGCAAAAGUCAGGACAGUUUGAAAAAUGAUUGGAAUAAUGACCACACUGGCUGGAUACAUGGAAAGGAAAGGCUAUAAACUCCAAAUGGAGGAAAUUAGGUGUCCACAUGAAUUAUAAACGGUGGAUUAAUUGGACGACCAAACCCACUCUUUU